rnacentral:rRNA from 1 species
CCUACGGGUGGCAGCAGUAAGGAAUAUUGGUCAAUGGGGGCAACCCUGAACCAGCCAUGCCGCGUGCAGGAAGACGGCCUACGGGUUGUAAACUGCUUUUAUACCGGAAUAGGUACGGUAUGAAUAAGGAUCGGCUAACUCCGUGCCAGCAGCCGCGGUAAUACGGAGGAUCCGAGCGUUAUCCGGAUUUAUUGGGUUUAAAGGGUGCGUAGGCGGCCCGUUAAGUCAGGGGUGAAAGACGGUGGCUCAACCAUCGCAGUGCCCUUGAUACUGGCGGGCUUGAAUGGACUAGAGGUAGGCGGAAUGUGACAAGUAGCGGUGAAAUGCAUAGAUAUGUCACAGAACACCGAUUGCGAAGGCAGCUUACCAUGGCCAUUGACGCUGAGGCACGAAAGCGUGGGGAUCGAACAGGAUUAGAUACCCUUGUAGUC